UAUCCUCACGGCACUGGGGCGGUAGGGAAGGGUUAUAGCCCCUGCCUGGGGUCCCGAGGCACAACGAGAGUGAGUUGCUGGCUCAUAGUCACUCAGGCCUGGCAUCAAGCCCAGAUCUCCUGAGUCCCAGCCCAGUGCCUUACCCGCAGGACCACCCCCCGCGUCCCUGGGACCGGAGAGACGUUUAGGGCUGUGCAAAGACUGCAGGGGUACAUGAUACCCUCCUCCACCCAGAGCUAAGGAAAAGGGCUCAGGAGUGGCAGCAAUAACCGGAGCUUUUUCAAAACAGAAAGGGGUGAGAGGGUUGGGGGGUUUAUUGCGGAAGCUUGCUGCAGAGUGAAUGGGAUUAAGACACUGGCAUCCGCUUUAGGCGCAUUUCUUCUUUAAACGGCUACGCCUCACUCUCCCUCGUGAGGUUGUUCCUGAGGCCUAACUUGAGGGAAGAAGGUUUAGAACAGUCUACAAAUAUUUGCAGUGUGUAAACAUCGAGGAUGGAGAAGAAUCGAGGGACGUGAUCGUUCCCCUCUAUUCGACACUGAAUUUCUGCUCAGCUGGUUCCAAUCAGCAUAGCUCCGCUGAAGUCAAACAAGAUAUGCCAAUUUACACCAGUGGAAAAGCAUCUUUCAGCCUGCUGGAUUUCAAAAUGCUUUGCAGCUGGAGAACCACAUUCUGUCUAACUGCUCCAGGGAUAUUCAAAGCAGGUGCAUGGAUGAAAGGAUGCAGAGAAACCUCCCACCUUGCAUCCUGGCACAGUAGCCAGGGGGUGCAAGUCACUGCAAAGGAGAUGGAGAAGAGGCCAUGGUUCCCUUUCCUUAUAUUGCAUCAGUCAUUGGAACUGGUACGUACGUGGGAGGAAAUAUGCUGUAUCCCCUAAAAGCGUGUACCAGUGAUUCCACUAUCCCUGUACACUGGGGAGCUCCAGGAGGCUCUCUAUAGUCAAUGUGAGUUUGUACCUAAUUAGCAUCAUAUCAUGAGAAAGCCCUGGUAUAUAAAUUAGCUGUACAUGUAUGUCCUGAUUCUCAUUUACACUUAAGGCCCCUUUAUACCACUCUGGCAGUGUAACGGGGACUUGAAACCUUUUGUGUAAAUGAGAAUCUGGCUCGCAGGGUUUACUUCAUGUACUACUCAAGUGCAACCACUUUUAAGUUACAUCUACAUUUCAGCAGCAGAUAUGAUUUUCAGGUCAUAUAGAUAUACCCGUACUAGUUGUAAUCUAGCCAGCUUGCUAAAAAUAGAAGUGAGGAUGGGCAGGUGUGGGCUUCAGCAUUGGUUGCACAAGUGAGCAAAUACCAGGGGGGAUCAAGCAAGCAGACUUCUGCAGUCCUUGUUGAAGCCCAAACUCAUGUCUAUUUUUAGCGAGCUAGCAGAUUACAGCUAGUGAAAAUACAUCUAGCUGCAAUUCACAGCUGGGGCUGCAGUGUAGAUGUACCCUUAGGGUGAUAGACAGCAAUAACAUGCAGCUACAUUACACAACAACUUAAGGCAUGAAGUAUAGAAUACUAUGUCCAAAAAACUGCCCACAAAACCCUGUAGGAGGGAUUUAGAUUUGAAGUAUUAGAAUAAUAACAUUAAUUUAUUUAUAUAUGUUUACAUUCAGUAUGGGAUUUUAAAAUUUUAUGAUUCUCAGCACAACCUCAUUAAAAUCACUGGAGGAUGAAGGCAUUGCUAUCUAGGACCAGAGCAAUCAAUUCUGGAAAGGCUUCUCUUGUGGUCCUUGUUGUGCUUAUCCACAACAUUCAUCAGUAGGUUGCACUGUUAUCCACUUAUAAAAAUGUCUCUGCAUGUCACAGAGAAUAAAGGAUAGUUUUGGGGAGCUGCACGCAAACUUCAGGUGUUUAUAUGCGUACUCCUAAAAGAUCCCUUUGCAUUUUAAAAAGUUGUAAAUUUUUUCAAGGUUUUAUUGAAGACCAUCUUUCUCAUUUUCUUCCAUUAACAUGGACAGUACUCUAUUUUUAGCUUCUCCAGUCUUCAGAUAACAUAUUUUUGCACUUGAAUUUAUAGUAAGAGAAGGUGCAAAAUUUUACGUAUUUUCUUUAUUAAAUAUUUCAGAAAUAUACAGAAGGAGGUAACUAAAGACUUAAAUGUAUUAGCAAAUCAAAUUGUAGGGCGAACAGGUCAAAAAGGAUCAAAAACAUUUUAAAGAUAAGGAAUGCCACAAAGGGAAUUGUAGAUGGCAAGGGAGAAUCCUUUAUUUGGGGAAAACAAUGUUGGUGUUCGUCCAUCAAAUAAUUAUACAACAUAAUGAAAGAAUGAAAAUAAACAGUUGAAACAGAUAAAAAUAUAAAAUAUACUGAAAGUUAAAUUUUGCAAGUCUGACUUAUACUUCAAAGAUAGAAACACAAAAUGUUUCCUCCAAUGUCUUGGAAUCUUUGUCGAAGGCAUAGUAAUUUACAGAAUCAAUAUGUUGAAAUGUUACCUUUUUAUUGGGAAAAGUGUGUACAUUUUGACAUUAGAUGUUAAAAUAAAAAUGGCAAAUGUGGAAAAAUAUUUUCUGUUUCUUUUAUGGAAUUUUGUUUUUCAUGGUGGUGAAUAUUACUACUUCAAAUCUAGUUAACAUUAUUUGUACAUGCAGCAUUUGGAAAAGUUUACAAUAUACCUCUUGUUCUGUUGUUUGAGAUUUUUAAAUAUCUACUGUCCUGCAUAAUAAAUGGUAGUAGUGUUCAGAUUUAGUUUACCAUAAUUGUGUUUCAGUAAACAACAUAAAAACCCGUACUUGAAAUGUGGACGUAUGGUCUAAUUGCAUAUUUACAAAUUCCCAAACGUUGCUCGGUCAGAAAGUCCCAUGUUCACAUGGAAGGCUCCUGAUAGAAAUAACAGUAUCAGCUGAACUUGACAGCAAAGUUUCAUUAUAGUACAAACUUCUGUAUUUUGAUCUUUUAUUAUAGAGAUAUACAGUCUUUGAUCUCAUACUGGUUUUACAUCACUGUAACUCCAUUGACUAAUUGGGUUACUCCUGAUUUUAACUUGAGUGAGUGAGAUCAGAAUUGGUGAAAUAAGUCUCCUUCAGCAAGUUACUUAAGCAUGCUCUUAAAUUUAAGCACCUGAGUAGUCCCAUGGAACUUAAAAUUAGGCAUGUGCUUAAGUGUUUUUGCCAAAUCAAGCAGAAUGCUCAUUGCCUUGCAGAUUCGAGCUCUUAAUGACUAAAUUUUGCUUUGUACUCUGUUGCUUAUAUACAAAUAUCAAAAUACAUCAAAAAACGUCAUCAAUGUUUUGAACAUUCUGUCCCAUAUCUUUGUUUAUUUAGGGUAGUGGUUCUCAACCUGGAGUACACGUACCCCUGGGAGUACGCAGAGGUCUUCUGGGGGGUAUGCCAGCUCAUGUAGAUAGUUGCCUAGUUUUACAAGAGGCUAUAUAAAAAGUACUAGGAAAGUGCCUGUCUACUCUAGAGAUGAGGACAGGUGGCAUCACUAACCAAAAGAACACUUCAUUUCAAUCUUGUACUUUCAGCCUCUUUUUUAACUUACACCCACCUGCAACACAGCUAAGGGAGGAGGGGAAGUCCAUCACAUUAUCUGAAAGAUAUCUCAGAGACAUUAUUUUAUUUUGUUUGAAUGAAGUCUCCUCCCUGAUGUGCCUAAUCUUUGAUGAAUGCAAACUAUGGUCCAGAAUCUCUGGUUGGUUCAAUGUGGGCAAAGAGGACACCCACACAGAUCCAACUGUAGAAUUGGGACCAGAGGACUGAACCAAAAUGAACUGGGAUAUUCACUCCCCUCAUGAGCCCAAUCCCUCUUUGCAUUGUUUUAAAUAAAUUUAGAGAAGUUCCCAUGGAAAUUGUAAAUUUGAACAGACUUGCUAUUGAAAUACUGUAUCCACAGAACAGGUAUAGCUUGAGCAGCAACUGUGAAAGCUUAAUUGUGAAUUUGUCAGCUUGUCAAGGUUUUAAGUGUAAGGGGGAAGUGUUAGAAUUCAUGUCUAUGAAUGUAUCCUAUUAAAGAAAAAAUAAAAUAUAUAAUGGAAUUCCUAAAAAUUAAUU